AGGGAAAGCAUCGAGGAGCCUGGGAAAGCAUCGAGGAGCCUGGAAAAGCACGUGCCAUAUGAUCGCAGAAUGUGAGGAGCAGCAGGGGCCUCUGAGGCCGGCAGGGCCAAUGAUACCGCUUUGCAGAUGAGAAAGCUGAGGCCAGAGAAAUCAAAUGACUCACCCACAGCCAGGAAUAGCCAAAGCAGGAGUAGGGAUUAAAGAACAG
rnacentral:lncRNA from 10 species